rnacentral:rRNA from 1 species
GACGAACGCUGGCGGCGUGCUUAACACAUGCAAGUCGAACGAAGUGGCGAACGGGUGAGUAAUACGUGGGUAACCUGCCCUCCUUUUUGGGAUAAGCCUUGGAAACGGGGUCUAAUACCGAAAAGAGGGGGAUGGGCUCGCGGCCUAUCAGCGUGUUGGUGGGGUGAUGGCCUACCAAGGCGGUGACGGGUAGCAGGCCUGAGAGGCUGACCGGCCACAUGGGGACUGAGAUACGGCCAAGACUCCUACGGGAGGCAGAAGUGGGGGAUAUUGCACAAUGGGCGAAAGACUGAUGCGGCGACGACGCGUGGGGGAUGAAGGCUUUCGGGUUGUAAACCUCUUUCGCUAUCGGACGGGUAUGUGGAGAAGAAGCGGCGGCUAACUACGUGCCAGCAGCCGCGGUAAUUC